rnacentral:rRNA from 1 species
AUUGAACGCUGGCGGCAUGCCUUACACAUGCAAGUCGACCGGCAGCACGGGAGCUUGCUCCUGGUGGCGAGUGGCGAACGGGUGAGUAAUACAUCGGAACGUACCCUGAAGUGGGGGAUAACGUAGCGAAAGUUACGCUAAUACCGCAUAUUCUGUGAGCAGGAAAGAGGGGGAUCGCAAGACCUCUUGCUUUAGGAGCGGCCGAUGUCGGAUUAGCUAGUUGGUGAGGUAAAGGCUCACCAAGGCGACGAUCCGUAGCGGGUCUGAGAGGAUGAUCCGCCACACUGGGACUGAGACACGGCCCAGACUCCUACGGGAGGCAGCAGUGGGGAAUUUUGGACAAUGGGCGCAAGCCUGAUCCAGCCAUGCCGCGUGAGUGAAGAAGGCCU